AGUUGUAAACUCGGUAAUGAUCCUUCCGUAAGGGGUACCUGCGGAGGGAUCAUUACCGAGUUUACAACUCCCAAACCCAAUGUGAACGUUACCAAACUGUUGCCUCGGCGGGGUCACGCCCCGGGUGCGUCGCAGCCCCGGAACCAGGCGCCCGCCGGAGGAACCAACCAAACUCUUUCUGUAGUCCCCUCGCGGACGUAUUUCUUACAGCUCUGAGCAAAAAUUCAAAAUGAAUCAAAACUUUCAACAACGGAUCUCUUGGUUCUGGCAUCGAUGAAGAACGCAGCGAAAUGCGAUAAGUAAUGUGAAUUGCAGAAUUCAGUGAAUCAUCGAAUCUUUGAACGCACAUUGCGCCCGCCAGUAUUCUGGCGGGCAUGCCUGUCCGAGCGUCAUUUCAACCCUCGAACCCCUCCGGGGGAUCGGCGUUGGGGAUCGGGACCCCUCACACGGGUGCCGGCCCCUAAAUACAGUGGCGGUCUCGCCGCAGCCUCUCCUGCGCAGUAGUUUGCACAACUCGCACCGGGAGCGCGGCGCGCCCACGUCCGUAAAACACCCAACUUUCUGAAAUGUUGACCUCGGAUCAGGAGGGAAUACACGCUGAACUUAAGCAUAUCAUAACCCGGAAGAAAAGUAUU
rnacentral:rRNA from 1 species